CAUAUUCCCAAUUUAGAGGUUUAAUUAUUUUUAAAAAAAGAUUAAUUACAUACAGCUCUCUGUAAACAUAUUGAAUAGCAAAUGUAUCCCUACAAAGUUUAAAUUUUUAUUUUUAUCCCUACAAAAGUCCAAUGAUAUUUAUAUUUGCCUCUCUAUUUUGUUACCAUUAGAGUACUGUCUAUUUUUUAAUAGCAGAUAAGUGAAAUGGUAUUUUAUCCUUACAAGUAUAUUCCUUCAAAAACCCCAACUAUUAGAAUUAUACAGAAAUAUCCUCUCAAAAAGCAUUUUAGCAAUAAUACAAAAUUAGUAAAAAGGUCAAUUUAACUAAUUUACUAAUCAGAGUUAAGUAUUUUAUUUAUAGUUAAUUAUAUUUUUCUAACCGAUUCUAACAGCAAAAAUAUAUUUGAAAAUAUUAGAAGUUUUGUAGGGAUAAAAGUAAAAAGUUAAACUUUGUAAGGAUAUAUUUGCUAUUCGAUAUGUUUAGAGAAGGUUG
rnacentral:lncRNA from 1 species